GCAAACUGGGAGUUUUAUUGUUUUGUUUUCACGAUUUCCAGCAAUCUUUCUCCCAAAAGGAAGAAAGCAGAUGCGACUGGUAGCAGAACCCCUCUUCCAUGCUUAGCUCCAACCCACACUCCAUGGGAUUCACUUGAGUUUCGGAACUUUGGAGAGGGAGGAACCUAGAAGUCCUAGUUCCUGGAGAGACGACGGACUAUUGGAAGGAGGAACCUGGGAUUUCACGGAACCCAACUGCUGGCGCGGACGCGACUACCCGGACUUUGGAACGGAAGAGCUGCUCGUGUCGCUUCCUGCCUGCCGGUGGGGAGGGCCGGGGUGCCGCCGCGAUGUUACCCUACACCGUAAACUUCAAGGUGUCAGCGCGCACCCUCACCGGGGCUCUCAACGCGCACAACAAGGCGGCGGUGGACUGGGGCUGGCAAGGUUUAAUUGCAUAUGGAUGCCAUUCACUGGUGGUAGUGAUCGAUUCCAAUACUGCCCAAACUCUACAAGUUCUAGAAAAACAUAAAGCUGAUAUUGUUAAGGUCAGGUGGGCCAGGGAGAACUAUCACCAUAACAUCGGCUCUCCAUACUGCCUGCGCUUGGCUUCUGCGGAUGUCACUGGGAAGAUCAUUGUCUGGGAUGUAGCAGCCGGAGUAGCCCAGUGUGAGAUCCAAGAGCACGUGAAGCCCAUCCAAGAUGUGCAGUGGCUGUGGAAUCAGGACGCUUCCCGAGACUUGCUGCUCGCUAUCCACCCGCCUAAUUACAUCGUGCUGUGGAAUGCAGACACAGGCACCAAGCUGUGGAAGAAGAGCUACGCAGAUAACAUCCUUUCUUUUUCUUUUGACCCUUUUGAUCCUUCACAUUUAACUUUACUCACCAGCGAGGGCAUCGUUUUCAUCUCAGACUUCUCUCCAUCCAAGCCUCCCUCCGGCCCUGGGAAGAAAGUGUACAUCUCCAGCCCACACUCCAGCCCAGCUCAUAACAAGCUGGCCGCAGCCACGGGAGCCAAGAAGGCUCUUAAUAAAGUAAAGAUUUUAAUCACUCAGGAGAAACCGAGUGCUGAUUUUGUAGCUCUCAAUGACUGCCUCCAGUUAGCCUAUCUGCCUUCAAAAAGGAAUCACAUGCUGUUGCUCUACCCUCGGGAGAUUUUAAUCCUUGACCUGGAAGUGAAUCAAACAGUUGGUGUGAUUGCAAUCGAGAGAACAGGCGUUCCCUUUCUGCAGGUAAUACCAUGCUCUCAGCGAGAUGGCUUGUUUUGCCUACAUGAAAAUGGCUGCAUAACCUUACGUGUCCGGAGGUCUUAUAACAGCAUCUGUACUACAUCAAAUGAUGAACCAGAUCUAGAUCCUGUCCAGGAGCUUACCUAUGACUUGAGAAGCCAGUGUGAUGCAAUCAGGGUGACGAAAACUGUCCGUCCCUUCAGUAUGGUGUGCUGUCCUGUUAAUGAGAAUGCAGCUGCCCUCAUAGUAAGCGACGGCAGAGUCAUGAUAUGGGAACUCAAGUCUGCUGUGUGCAGUCGAAAUGCACGGAACAGUUCCGGUGUGUCUCCUUUAUACUCGCCAGUGUCCUUCUGUGGGAUUCCUGGAGGAGUGCUACAGAAUAAACUCCCAGACCUUUCCCUAGAUAAUAUGAUCGGGCAGAGUGCAAUUGCUGGGGAAGAACACCCCAAAGGCUCCAUUCUGCAGGAAGUGCACCUCAAGUUCCUGCUGACGGGACUGCUCUCAGGACUCCCUUCCCCUCAGUUUGCCAUCCGAAUGUGCCCACCACUGACCACAAAAAACAUUAAGAUGUACCAGCCACUCCUUGCUGUUGGUACGAGUAACGGUUCUGUCCUGGUGUACCACCUCACCAGUGGCCUGCUGCACAAGGAGCUCAGUGUCCACUCGUGUGAAGUCAAGGGUAUUGAAUGGACAAGCUUGACCAGUUUCCUUUCUUUUGCUGCUUCGACCCCAAACAACAUGGGGUUAGUAAGAAAUGAACUUCAGCUGGUUGAUCUCCCAACAGGGAGGAGCACUGCUUUCCGUGGUGACCGGGGCAAUGACGAAUCACCCAUUGAAAUGAUCAAAGUGUCUCAUCUGAAACAGUAUUUGGCAGUUGUUUUCAAAGAUAAGCCCCUGGAAUUAUGGGAUAUUAGAACUUGCACUCUUCUUAGAGAAAUGUCUAAAAGUUUCCCUGCUAUAACUGCAUUGGAGUGGUCACCAUCUCACAACCUGAAGAGCCUGAGAAAGAAGCAGCUUGCCACCCGGGAGGCCAUGGCCCGCCAGACUGUGGUCUCCGAUGCAGAGCUGGGUGCUGUUGAAUCAUCUGUGAUCAGUUUAUUACAGGAGGCAGAGAGUAAGGCUGAACUCAGUCAGAACAUCUCUGCUCGGGAGCAUUUUGUGUUUACUGACAAUGAUGGCCAAGUUUAUCAUCUCACUGUUGAAGGAAAUUCUGUGAAAGACAGUGCUCGGAUUCCACCAGAUGGUAGCAUGGGCAGUAUUACCUGCAUCGCUUGGAAGGGGGAUACAUUAGUGCUUGGAGAUAUGGAUGGAAAUUUAAACUUCUGGGAUUUGAAAGCCAGAGUAUCCAGAGGAAUACCCACACAUAGAAGUUGGGUGAGGAAGAUUCGCUUUGCCCCCGGCAAGGGAAACCAGAAGCUAAUAGCAAUGUAUAAUGAUGGUGCUGAAGUGUGGGAUACUAAAGAGGUUCAGAUGGUGAGCAGUUUAAGAAGUGGAAGAAAUGUAACCUUCCGGAUUUUGGAUGUGGACUGGUGCACAUCAGAUAAGGUGAUCUUGGCAUCUGAUGACGGCUGCAUCAGAGUCCUGGAGAUGUCAAUGAAGUCUACGUGUUUCAGAAUGGAUGAGCAGGAGUUAGUAGAGCCUGUGUGGUGCCCGUACCUCCUUGUUCCGAGGGCUGCCCUUGCUUUGAAAGCCUUCCUACUGCAUCAGCCUUGGAAUGGGCGAUAUUCGUUGGACAUUUCUCACAUUGAUUAUCCAGAAAAUGAAGAAAUAAAGACUCUCCUUCAAGAACAGUUGCAUGCAUUGUCUAACGACAUAAAGAAACUCCUGCUUGAUCCCGACUUCUCUCUCUUGCAGAGGUGCCUGCUCGUGUCCAGGCUGUACGGCGAUGAAUCGGAGCUGCACUUCUGGACAGUGGCGGCCCACUACCUGCACAGCUUGUCCCAGGCCAAGUCUGGGGACACAGUGGUAACCAAGGAAGGUGCUCCUAAGGACAGGCUGAGCAACCCAUUGGACAUCUGCUACGAUGUGCUCUGUGAGAACACCUACUUCCAGAAAUUUCAGCUAGAAAGAGUUAAUCUACAGGAAGUAAAACGGUCAACUUAUGAUCACACGAGAAAGUGCACAGACCAGCUCCUGCUGCUAGGCCAGACAGACAGAGCUGUGCAGCUGCUGUUGGAAACAAGUGCAGAUAACCAGCACUACUACUGCGACUCUCUGAAAGCUUGCUUGGUCACCACUGUCACCUCUUCAGGCCCUUCUCAGAGCACAAUUAAGCUGGUAGCAACCAAUAUGAUCGCCAAUGGCAAGCUGGCAGAGGGUGUUCAGUUACUCUGCUUGAUAGACAAGGCUGCGGACGCCUGUCGCUACCUGCAGACGUAUGGCGAGUGGAAUCGGGCGGCAUGGCUUGCAAAGGGUGCUCUAGCAUGGACCUCUCUCUCAGGUUCGGUUAAAUUCUGAAGAAUGUGCAGAUGUUCUGAAGCGGUGGGUUGACCACCUUUGUUCUCCACAAGUCAACCAGAAGUCCAAGGCCCUCCUGGUCCUCCUCUCUCUGGGUUGCUUUGUCAGCGUGGCAGAGACGCUUCACAGCAUGAGAUACUUCGAUAGAGCUGCCUUGUUUGUGGAAGCCUGUCUCAAGUACGGUGCAUUUGAAGUCAGUGAGGACACAGAUAUCCUUUGAAGGACGUGUGUGCUGUGGGGGAAGGAAAGGUCCCCAGCAGCGUGUGGCUCCAGAGCCUGAGGAGCCACGCACCCCCAACCCCUUGUGCUCUUCAGUUCCUUAACUGGGGUUUACAGAAGCUCAUUGCUGCCAUCUACGCAGACUAUGCCCGGAGCCUGAAGAGCCUCGGCUUUAGACAGGGAGCAGUGCGUUUUGCUUCAAAAGCUGGAGCGGCUGGCAGAGAUUUGUUGAAUGAGCUUGGGUCCACCAAGGAAGAGCUAACGGAAAGUUGACAGGCUCCGCGCAGGAAUCUGAUGUCGGAAGCGAGGGGUGAGGAGAGCUGACCUGGCUGUGCUCCUGGUCACAGCUAUGGUCAGUCCAGACCUGCGUGAGGGCUUGGCCCUUGUUAGCUGUGACACCACCUUCUUAAGUUCGAAGGUGCUCAGCAGCAUAGGCCCAUACACUAGGAGCCAGUUCUGUGUCCCAGGUGACCUCAAAAUGGGGACACAUAGUGGGAAAGUAUAUGGUAUUUAUACUUUGGAAAGUGCUUUUAAGAUCUCUGUGAAUACUUUUCAAUUUUUGUAACUUAAAAAUUCAAAAAACUGAAUUACUGUCCUUUCUCAUUAGCUAUUUUGAAGAUGUUUAAGAAAUCUGUGGCAAGAGAUGGGGCUUCUGAUGGAUUUUCAGAUAUGUGCUGUGUGUGCCUGUGUUGAUAAGCAGUCAUUUAGGACACAGCAGGGCAGAAGCAUUUGACCAACCACAGCACCUCUUUUCUUGAGGACGUGGUGGAUUCUUUGCUUUAGACAUUGCUGAACUUUGUAUUUGGGGCUCAUAGUCUUCAUGGAGCACGUCUAAGCUUAAUGUUUAGCGUCCGUGGUCUCUGAUGGUCUGAAUUUUAACUCCCAGGAUAUGUUCCAGAAACCUCAUUUCUGAAGCCUCUUUGUACAUUUCCCACCUUUGUUUUCUUCCACUAGAUGUAAUUAUUAUAAAUUAUUACUCAGAACUUAAACAUCUGUGACUAUAAAAAUGAUAAAUAAAGGAAAAUCCCAGCCAAGA